rnacentral:rRNA from 1 species
GAUGAACGCUGGCGGCGUGCCUAAUACGUGCAAGUCGAGCGAACAGACGAGGAGCUUGCUCCUCUGACGUUAGCGGCGGACGGGUAAGUAACACGUGGAUAACCUACCUAUAAGACUGGGAUAACUUCGGGAAACCGGAGCUAAUACCGGAUAAUAUAUUGAACCGCAUGGUUCAAUAGUGAAAGACGGUUUUGCUGUCACUUAUAGAUGGAUCCGCGCCGCAUUAGCUAGUUGGUAAGGUAACGGCUUACCAAGGCAACGAUGCGUAGCCGACCUGAGAGGGUGAUCGGCCACACUGGAACUGAGACACGGUCCAGACUCCUACGGGAGGCAGCAGUAGGGAAUCUUCCGCAAUGGGCGAAAGCCUGACGGAGCAACGCCGCGUGAGUGAUGAAGGUCUUCGGAUCGUAAAACUCUGUUAUUAGGGAAGAACAAAUGUGUAAGUAACUAUGCACGUCUUGACGGUACCUAAUCAGAAAGCCACGGCUAACUACGUG